UAGUACAAUUGGCUUCCAACCAAUUAGUUUCGGUCUAACCCGA
rnacentral:tRNA from 1 species